rnacentral:snRNA from 1 species
AGACUAUUUUUUCUUCAGAUCGUAUAAAUCUUUCGCCUUACUAAAGAUUUCCAUGGAGAGGAACAUUUAUGAGUAUGUAAUUAAUUUUUUGAGGUCCU